UACGGAGGGGGCGAGCGUUAUUCGGAAUUACUGGGCGUAAAGGGCGCGUAGGCGGCCUGCUAAGUCGAACGUGAAAUCCCUGGGCUCAACCCAGGAACUGCGUCCGAUACUGGUUGGCUUGAAUCCGGGAGAGGGAUGUGGAAUUCCAGGUGUAGCGGUGAAAUGCGUAGAUAUCUGGAGGAACACCGGUGGCGAAGGCGACAUCCUGGACCGGCAUUGACGCUGAGGCGCGAAAGCCAGGGGAGCAAACGGG
rnacentral:rRNA from 1 species